rnacentral:rRNA from 1 species
CCCUUAGAUGAUUUGGGCUGCACGCGCGCUACACUGACCCUAACAAUGAGCAACUGUCUGGCCUGAGAUGGCUGGGUAGCCUUUUCAACCCAUGUCAUGAUUGGGCUAGAUUUUUGUAAGUCUUGAUCUCUAACGAGGAAUCCCUAGUAUGCGUGAAUCAUCAAUCCAUGCAGAUUAUGUCCCUGCCCUUUGUACACACCGCCCGUCGCUCCUACUGAUUGGGUGAUCCGGUGAGCUGUUCGGCCAUAGCAAUGUUUCUUGAGCAUGGCAAUGAAUGUUUCGCAAACCUUGCCACUUAGAGGAAGGAGAAGUCGUAACA